ACUCAAAGGAAUUGACGGGGGCCCGCACAAGCGGUGGAGCAUGUGGCUUAAUUCGAUGCAACGCGAAGAACCUUACCAGGGCUUGACAUGUAGCUGCAAGCCGCCGAAACGUGGUCGCCUUCGAGGGUGCUACACAGGUGGUGCAUGGCUGUCGUCAGCUCGUGUUGUGAAAUGUUGGGUUAAGUCCCGCAACGAGCGCAACCCUCAUGUUCUGUUACCAGCGAGUAAAGUCGGGGACUCGGAACAAACUGCCUCUGUAAGGAGGAGGAAGGUGGGGAUGACGUCAAGUCAUCAUGCCCCUUACGCCCUGGGCUGCACACAUGCUACAAUGGCCGGUACAAAGAGCUGCGAACUCGCGAGGGUAAGCUAAUCUCAAAAAGCCGGUCUCAGUUCGGAUUGGAGUCUGCAACUCGACUCCAUGAAGUUGGAAUCGCUAGUAACCGCCGGUCAGCAAUACGGCGGUGAAUACGUUCCCGGGCCUUGCACACACCGCCCGU
rnacentral:rRNA from 1 species